rnacentral:rRNA from 1 species
CCUACGGGGUGCAGCAGUGAGGAAUAUUGGUCAAUGGACGAGAGUCUGAACCAGCCAAGUAGCGUGAAGGAUGACUGCCCUAUGGGUUGUAAACUUCUUUUAUAUGGGAAUAAAAUGUUCCACGUGUGGGAUUUUGUAUGUACCAUAUGAAUAAGGAUCGGCUAACUCCGUGCCAGCAGCCGCGGUAAUACGGAGGAUCCGAGCGUUAUCCGGAUUUAUUGGGUUUAAAGGGAGCGUAGGUGGAUUGUUAAGUCAGUUGUGAAAGUUUGCGGCUCAACCGUAAAAUUGCAGUUGAAACUGGCAGUCUUGAGGACAGUAGAGGUGGGCGGAAUUCGUGGUGUAGCGGUGAAAUGCUUAGAUAUCACGAAGAACUCCGAUUGCGAAGGCAGUUCACUGGACUGCAACUGACACUGAGGCUCGAAAGUGUGGGUAUCAAACAGGAUUAGAUACCCCUGUAGUC